AUCACUUCCACUGAUGAGGGACACUGCUUCUUUGAGUGAGUUUUCUUCAUGACUUAAAAGAUUUACUGAUGCAUUGGAAUUCCCUAUAUUGGAGGUUCAGAUGAACUUUAGAAACUCAAGAUAAGAACUAUAAAUCUGUUAUAAACCGGGAAGCCAUUUCUCAAGAACUGUAUGUUAGCUCUGCUCAGCUGGACAAGAGGAGAAUGGCAUCCAAGUGGGAAUUUUCUUACUCAGGUCUGGCAGCUGCUUUCAGUACUGUUGAUGCACAAACUGCUUCUGUAUGUUCCAACACAAUUUAGUUAAACUUAGAAGUGCCAGGCAUUGUGCUGGGUGCUGUAUGAACACAGAACAAGACACAGGCCCUGCCCUGAAAAAAAAGUUCCCAUGAGGAAAGAUGAACACGCUUGCUGUGCCUCUCCCCUGUACUGAACCCUCAGAUGAGACUUUUAACACAGACACGCUUUUCCCAUAGUUAAUAGCAAAUCCCCUCAGUGAACUCUCUGAGCAAAUCAUGUUUCUGCCCUUCAGUUUCUUCAGCCAUCACUAUAUCUCUGAACUUUUCUUCCAGUGAGAUUGUACUUUGGACACUUAAAAAACAAACAAAAAGGCCAGAGAGGAUUUGAGGUCAGGACGCACUGACAUCACUUUCACUUCUCUUCUUGUUUAACCUCUCUGGUUAUCCUUUUGCAACAGAGAGGCCAUCUGUUACUGCUUUGUCUUUGUUGUUAAGCACAAAGUAGCUCAGAAACUCAAUUGCAAUUAACUUGUUCCUUGAAUUUGCGCUUCACUAGCUUUUUAGGAAUGAAACUUUUUCCUUUAAUGUUAAAAUGUUAGCAGUAUCUUGCUCUUGUACCCCCUGGUCCUCUUCCAUUAACGAUGAAUAAACAAUGUUUUUAAAUGAGCUGGUAUGGUAUGUUGUAUGAGUAAUGUACCCUAAUGAAGAACACUGGGACAGAUGAAAUGCAAAAUAAUGUGCCACCAAAAACAUAUUACUCUGAAAAAUAUAGAAAGCAUCAAUAUAAAAACAACUCGGUUUGGAAUGUGGUGGCUGCAUUUCUGCAGGCAGAAGAAA